GAUGAACGCUGGCGGCGUGCCUAAUACAUGCAAGUCGAGCGAACAGACGAGGAGCUUGCUCCUCUGACGUUAGCGGCGGACGGGUGAGUAACACGUGGAUAACCUACCUAUAAGACUGGGAUAACUUCGGGAAACCGGAGCUAAUACCGGAUAAUAUAUUGAACCGCAUGGUUCAAUAGUGAAAGACGGUUUUGCUGUCACUUAUAGAUGGAUCCGCGCCGCAUUAGCUAGUUGGUAAGGUAACGGCUUACCAAGGCAACGAUGCGUAGCCGACCUGAGAGGGUGAUCGGCCACACUGGAACUGAGCCACGGUCCAGACUCCUACGGGAGGCAGCAGUAGGGAAUCGUCCGCAAUGGGCGAAAGCUUGACGGAGCAACGCCGCGUGAGUGAUGAAGGUCUUCGGAUCGUAAAACUCUGUUAUUAGGGAAGAACAAAUGUGUAAGUAACUAUGCACGUCUUGACGGUACCUAAUAAGAAAGCCACGGCUAACUACGUG
rnacentral:rRNA from 1 species